AUGAACGCUGGCGGCGUGCCUAAUACAUGCAAGUCGAGCGAACAGAUGAGGAGCUUGCUCCUCUGACGUUAGCGGCGGACGGGUGAGUAACACGUGGAUAACCUACCUAUAAGACUGGGAUAACUUCGGGAAACCGGAGCUAAUACCGGAUAAUAUAUUGAACCGCAUGGUUCAAUAGUGAAAGACGGUUUUGCUGUCACUUAUAGAUGGAUCCGCGCCGCAUUAGCUAGUUGGUAAGGUAACGGCUUACCAAGGCAACGAUGCGUAGCCGACCUGAGAGGGUGAUCGGCCACACUGGAACUGAGACACGGUCCAGACUCCUACGGGAGGCAGCAGUGGGGAAUCUUCCGCAAUGGGCGAAAGCUUGACGGAGCAACGCCGCGUGAGUGAUGAAGGUCUUCGGAUCGUAAAACUCUGUUAUUAGGGAAGAACAAAUGUGUAAGUAACUAUGCACGUCUUGACGGUACCUAAUCAGAAAGCCACGGCUAACUACGUG
rnacentral:rRNA from 1 species